rnacentral:rRNA from 1 species
UACAGAGGGUGCGAGCGUUGUCCGGAAUCACUGGGCGUAAAGGGCGCGUAGGCGGUCCGUCACGUCGGGAGUGAAAACUCAGGGCUCAACCCUGAGCGUGCUUCCGAUACGGGCGGACUAGAGGUAUGCAGGGGAGAACGGAAUUCCUGGUGUAGCGGUGGAAUGCGCAGAUAUCAGGAGGAACACCGGUGGCGAAGGCGGUUCUCUGGGCAUUACCUGACGCUGAGGUGCGAGAGCGUGGGGAGCGAACCGG